rnacentral:rRNA from 1 species
AGUCGAGGGGCAGCACAGGGUAGCAAUACUUGGGUGGCGACCGGCGCACGGGUGAGUAACGCGUAUGCAACUUACCUAUCAGAGGGGGAUAGCCCGGCGAAAGUCGGAUUAAUACCCCAUAAAACAGGGGUCCCGCAUGGGAAUAUUUGUUAAAGAUUCAUCGCUGAUAGAUAGGCAUGCGUUCCAUUAGGCAGUUGGCGGGGUAACGGCCCACCAAACCGACGAUGGAUAGGGGUUCUGAGAGGAAGGUCCCCCACAUUGGUACUGAGACACGGACCAAACUCCUACGGGAGGCAGCAGUGAGGAAUAUUGGUCAAUGGCCGAGAGGCUGAACCAGCCAAGUCGCGUGAAGGAAGAAGGAUCUAUGGUUUGUAAACUUCUUUUAUAGGGGAAUAAAGUGGAGGACGUGUCCUUUUUUGUAUGUACCCUAUGAAUAAGCAUCGGCUAACUCCGUGCCAGCAGCCGCGGUAAUACGGAGGAUGCGAGCGUUAUCCGGAUUUAUUGGGUUUAAAGGGUGCGUAGGUGGUGAUUUAAGUCAGCGGUGAAAGUUUGUGGCUCAACCAUAAAAUUGCCGUUGAAACUGGGUUACUUGAGUGUGUUUGAGGUAGGCGGAAUGCGUGGUGUAGCGGUGAAAUGCAUAGAUAUCACGCAGAACUCCGAUUGCGAAGGCAGCUUACUAAACCAUAACUGACACUGAAGCACGAAAGCGUGGGGAUCAAACAGGAUUAGAUACCCUGGUAGUCCACGCAGUAAACGAUGAUUACUAGGAGUUUGCGAUACAAUGUAAGCUCUACAGCGAAAGCGUUAAGUAAUC